GCCUGGGUGGCUCAGUAGGUUAAGCGUCUGACUUCGGCUCAGGUCAUGAUCUCGUGGUCUGUGAGUUCGAGCCCCGCGUCGGGCU
rnacentral:tRNA from 1 species